GAUGAACGCUGGCGGCGUGCCUAAUACAUGCAAGUCGAGCGAACGGACGAGAAGCUUGCUUCUCUGAUGUUAGCGGCGGACGGGUGAGUAACACGUGGAUAACCUACCUAUAAGACUGGGAUAACUUCGGGAAACCGGAGCUAAUACCGGAUAAUAUUUUGAACCGCAUGGUUCAAAAGUGAAAGACGGUCUUGCUGUCACUUAUAGAUGGAUCCGCGCUGCAUUAGCUAGUUGGUAAGGUAACGGCUUACCAAGGCAACGAUGCAUAGCCGACCUGAGAGGGUGAUCGGCCACACUGGAACUGAGACACGGUCCAGACUCCUACGGGAGGCAGCAGUAGGGAAUCUUCCGCAAUGGGCGAAAGCCUGACGGAGCAACGCCGCGUGAGUGAUGAGGGUCUUCGGAUCGUAAAACUCCGUUAUUAGGGAAGAACAUAUGUGUAAGUAACUGUGCACAUCUUGACGGUACCUAAUCAGAAAGCCACGGCUAACUACGUG
rnacentral:rRNA from 1 species